GUCCCUGUAGCGCAAUGGAUAGCGCGUUGGACUUCUAAUUCAAAGAUCGAAUACUACUUGGGAUG